AAACGACGGGAUUCGUAAAUAAUUGGUGUUAGUUUUUAUAAAACUUAUUUUUCCAGUUUUUAGUUUCUUAUUUUAAUCAAACUGUUUUUUGUACGAGAGUACAAAACAAACUAAGGUUACGUCAACAAGAAUGAGAGUUUGAGAUUUUAACCAGAUAGCUGAAACUAGGCAUUAAUCCUAAACACAACGAGAGCGCUUUAGGUUUAAUUAGACUUUAUUCAUUCUCAAAAAUUACUUUUAAAUUC
rnacentral:lncRNA from 1 species